CACUCCUGCGGGAGGCAGCAGUGGGGAAUAUUGGACAAUGGGCGCAAGCCUGAUCCAGCCAUGCCGCGUGAGUGAUGAAGGCCCUAGGGUUGUAAAGCUCUUUCACCGGUGAAGAUAAUGACGGUAACCGGAGAAGAAGCCCCGGCUAACUUCGUGCCAGCAGCCGCGGUAAUACGAAGGGGGCUAGCGUUGUUCGGAUUUACUGGGCGUAAAGCGCACGUAGGCGGACUAUUAAGUCAGGGGUGAAAUCCCGGGGCUCAACCCCGGAACUGCCUUUGAUACUGGUAGUCUUGAGUUCGAGAGAGGUGAGUGGAAUUCCGAGUGUAGAGGUGAAAUUCGUAGAUAUUCGGAGGAACACCAGUGGCGAAGGCGGCUCACUGGCUCGAUACUGACGCUGAGGUGCGAAAGCGUGGGGAGCAAACAGGAUUAGAUAUCCCUGUAGUCCCA
rnacentral:rRNA from 1 species